AGAGGACAACGUUAUAGACUUGAUCCUCCCCUCCUCUCUUUCCAUGGAUCUUGGGGUUAGGGAGUGACCUGAGGUCACUAGGUUUAUGCAGAUGCAGCUACCAUGGAUCCAUCGCACUAAUCCAGGAUUAACUUUAUGAGAGGGGUAACUCCGUACCUCAGGCAAACCUUGCCCUCUUCCCCGAUUAGAGGAAAGUCAUACAUAAUUUUGUAAAGAUGAUGAAUUUCCCCCUGGGUUGAAAAAUCUUUGGCACAGCUCAUAGGAAAUGUGAUUCCGUGACCCAACAUUCCUUAGUAGUUAUGAGCUGGGAGUACUGGUACUUCAAAUGAAAUGCAAUUGAGAUUGCUAUUUAAAAAAACAUUGUUCCAUCUGUUUAUAUAUUUAUUGUCAACUAGAGUGAAUGACAGAGGAGGUUUACAGUAUAGAAGAAAAUUUAUUAAAAGAAACAAAAUUUUUCAAGGAUGGAGAAGUAUAAAACUCAAGAUCCUAUGAGCCAUGAACUGUCAGAGACAGCGUCAGAGACAGAGUCAUAAAACGUCUGUAUUGAGAAAUAUAGACUCUAGCAGAAUAGGGGGUUGCUUACAUCAGCCCAUUUUAUCCAUGUAGAGGUUGAGUCUAGAGGGGUGAAGCUAACCAAACCUGGGCCAAUCAAGGGCUCCCACAUCAUCUUGUGAUUUCCAUGACAUUCUCUUCACUUUCCUGAAAGCCCAUCCCCACCCCAUUUGAAGUCUCCCAAGUCGGGCAUAAGGCUUGAGCAGUGAUGGCUUGGUUAGUUAUUUGCAGUAUACAAAGUCUAUAAAAAUAUCAAAUAUAAUUAUAAUAACCGUCCAUUUGGCUCGGGGCUGCUGAGAUCCGAAUGGACAGCUGCUCUCUCACGGAAGCCCUCUCUUGCCUGCGCUGUCUUCUCUUUAAGCAUUCUGAGGCACUUGAUGAUGCUCCUACUUUGAGAGGGUAGCCUCCUGUCUCUCCUUCCAGAUGUCUGUGUAGGCGCUGAACGAAUGGGGGGGAGGGGGGGAUUGUUCUCUCAAUACUGGAGCCUCUUAAAUGGAAAAGCCAAUGCUCGCUGCUAAUUUAUCUCUGUGGACUCUCUUCCUAAAGCCCCCAUUGGUUUCAACUUGUCUGUCAUUCUUCCUUUCUUUAUUCUUUUUUAAAUAAUUUUGUGCGUGUGGACCAUGGUGCAUGGGUGAAGGUCAGAGGAACUAGCCAGAGUUCGUUCUUUCCUUCUACCUUGUAGGUCCUGGGGAUUGAACUCGGGUCCUCAGGCUUGAAGGCAGGCACCUUUCCCUGCCUAGCCAGCUCACUGCCCCCUUCUCUUUCAUUCCUCAUGAGAAGCCAUUGAAAUGGAGGGAGGGAAGGAGCCAUCACUCAAGCAGAGCUUACUGUGUGAGGAGAUUCCAUUCAAAUUGCUCUGUAGCAGCGAGGCCAUUGAAAUAAGUUAAUCAAUAGAAGUUCUCAGGCAUCGCACACGCUGGCUAUCUCCCCUAUGUUAGUAAUUGCUAAGUAAAUCAAGUCUCAAAAAUGUUAAAUAUAAAAGGGAAAGGAACUGCAGAUUAAAUAAGACCAAAGAGUAAGUUGUCAUCCGAAGGGAGUUACUAGGACAUGAAUGUCAGGAACAUUUAAGUGUGUACAGAAGGAAUAUGAGUUGUCCUGUUAGGAAAGUGUUUUAUAUGUAUAUCGCACACAGACCCACAUAUAUCCCGUAUAUUUGCAUGCUGUAUACCUAUUUGGAUAUAAAUACAUUUUAAAGGUGUAUUAUGAAUUUCUAGGUAAGUGGUUUGGGUCUUAAGCAUUGGUUCCGGAUGCAGCAUCGUCCAGAGGCAGGCUUGGGAUGGCUCUGACCUCAGGAGUGAGCUCAUCUGCCCGCAGAUUCAUAGCUUGAUGAGCCUCACAGGAAAACCUCUGUGAGGAGAGCGAGCGAGCUCUUGGCUUCCUGACCACCAUGAAGGGAGCAGUUUUCCUCUACAAGGACCUCCCUGCCAUGAGCCCACAAGGACCCCCAGUUCCUCACAGGCUGAAACCCUGAGAAAACCCAACAGCCCAACAGCCCGCAGCAUGAGGCAGAGUGCACCUGCCCGUCUUUGGAUGCCCCUUGUUAUAUAUAUUUAAGCAACAAAGAGCUAACAGAGCAUUUCUACUCAUUCACACCUGAGGGGACAUUUCCGAUGUGGUGGUCAUCCUAAGUGCGCCACAAUGCCUCAAGUGUGGGGAAGAAUGGCCUUUGAUUUGUCUGAAAAUGUUUCACCUGUUUAUACCACAUCCGUUCCUCAAAGCAAGCCAUUGUUACCAAAGAUCUGUGAUUCCAAAGUAGAAAUUUUGAUCCAUUGAGUGUGAAGAAGAAGAAGAAGAAGAAGAAGAAGAAGAAAAAGAAGAAGAUAAACCCUUUACAACCAGAAAAAUAUACAAAUGUGGUGGCACAUUAAAUAAGCCAGACAAUCGAGGGCUGUUGUUACUGUAAAUCCACAAACAUUUCUGUUUGUUGUUUUGUUUUGUUUUGUUUUGAGGUUGAUUCUUCCUUUGUCAGGCUGGCUGUCCUAAAACCACAUUGUGGACCAGUCUAGUCUGAAGCCCUCAGAUCUGCUUGCCUUCCCCCACUCCCCACCCCCGCCUCCUCAGUGCAGGGAUGAUGGGAAGGCCUGCGCCCCCAUGCAGAAGCAUUCUAAUACCUCGAGAAUCCAGUAUGCACUGCAUGAUCCCAGACCCAGAUUCAUGAGAAAAAGUCAUCUGAUGAUGAGCCAGAGAGCUGUUAGUUGACUUUCCCAAAGGUUGGAACGUUCAACGGGUGGCUGUGUGCUACGGUGGCUCGUUAAGUUCAGUGUUCAUUAAUGGACUUGCAAUGGCGUUCCUCUCCCCUUUUGUCUCACCCUGCCGUUCUCUGAGUAGUUUCUCCCACGCUGUUCCCCUGUUCCUGACGACAGCAUGUAGAGUGCACAAUGGCCCACUCUUCACUUUGAUGAAGAAUGGUUUGGGGGAACUGUGGAGCAGAAAGCCUAAGGAAUUAGGUCAGUGUUGUUGUCCAGUGGGAAGCUGAAGGUGUCCACCAAGUGCACUCUCAUUACACAACACUUGACAGCAAGAAAUACCUCAUCUCUAAAAAUAAAGACAUGGACUGAGACUUUCGGGGUGUUUUCCCCUCUCACCAGAGCACUGGUUCCCGAGUCACCUCACUUAUGUUCCCCACACUCACCUGAUAGCAAUUACAUCUUUCUUUUCAUCCGAUUCAAGAACUCAUAGGGAUUUCUUCAGAGCAAAGGGUAAGGUUGGGUGGGGGGCAGCGCUCCAAGGAAUUUUACAAGCUUGCAGAAUUUGCAAGGUCAUUUAGAGAAAUAAAAUGACCCAAGCUCCAGCCUUAAAAAAAUAAAAAGAAGGUUUUUAAAGUAAGUGGCACAGGCCAGAGAGAUGGCUCAGCAGUUAAGAGCCCUGACUGUUCUUCCAAAAGUCCUGAGUUCAAUUCCCAACAACCACAUGGUGGCUCACAACCAUCUGUGAUGAGAUCUGGUGCCCUCUCCUGGUGUGUCUGAAGACAGCUACAGUGUACGCAUACACAUAAAAUAAGUGGCACAGCAGCGCAUACACAUAAAAUAAGUGGCACAGCAGGUCUUUAGAGAAAAGAAUCGGUGUAAAUGGAGUAACCCGUAAAAGCAUCGUGGAGAAAGAGUGGAUGGGAGAUGAGCUUCCUGGGAAGUGUCAGGAAUGGCUGGGUGCAGAAGUAGCUCUCCUGAGCAGGAGAAGAGGCAAGUAUCAGGGAUCCCAGCCCUGAAAUGAGCACUGUCGUCCCAUCCAAGGUAGAGAGAGUUCACUCUUGGGAGAGGAGGUAGGUCUGUUAAUUCAGAGUGCAUGAGUGUCUUAGACAUUAAAUGUCCUGGAUCCCUGUGCUGACACAGUCGUUUGACUGAGAGUGGCUCCUAUAGGCUCACAUCACGCCUGGACCCCAGCUGGUGGAACUGUUUGGGAAGGAUUGGGAAGGAGUGUGGGAUUGUUGAGGGGAGUGUCUACAGUUGGUCUUCUGUUAUUUUGUAGGUUCUUCCUCUUCCACCCUUCUCUAUCUUCUUCCACUCUGCCAACCCCCUAAGACUAGACAGGAGAGGAAAAGGAUAGAGGGAAGAGAGAGUGAUGUCGUCAUUAGCCUACUUUCUGAUUUUUAAGGGCAUCGAGUUCCUUGGUGUAGAUUUGAUCUCUAUCAUCAAGGUGCCGAAUUUCAUCUUUUGUUGUUUCUUCUUUGUGUAGGACUACUUAACAAACUGCAAUCAGCAGCCAACAACCAACAAUCCCUCCCUUCUCGGGCCCUAGAAGUUUAUACAUCCCUCUGAAUAGUCCCCAGAAUUCCAAACACCACACACUCGCAGAAACUAUCUGCAGAUGGCAAAAUCUCACACCUGCUAGAGCAUGAGGCAAAUCAUAGUCAGCUGCUGAGGACAGACUGAAGCAGCCCCAUAUCCCAUGCCUGAGAUUAAAAUAAAAACAUAUUCUUAUUUUUCUGUAGUUUAUCUUUAAAGAAACCAAAAUUCUCACUACAGGUGUGUCCCUGGAGGUGGGCUAUGAGGUUUCAAAAGCCAACCCCACUGCCCGUUAGCUCUCUCUGCUUAGAGCUUGUGAAUAGUGUGUAAGUUCUCAUCUAUUUCCCCAGUGCCGUUCUGAUCUGCCUGCUGCCAUGGUCCCCACUGCGAUGGUCAUGGACUCUAACCCUGGGCAACCUUGAGCUCCCAGAUUAAAUCCUUUCUCUUACAUGUUACCAUGCUCACAGUGUUUUGUCACAGCAAUAGAAAAGUAACAAAAAAGAAGAAUUUGUGUAUAUGUCACAGAACGCAUCGGAUUUGCAGGAAAUGAGGCACGUGAAAGCCCAUGGUAUGGCAGACUAGGAAGAUACAGAAACCAAACAUGAGGCUCUGUCUGUGGAGAGAUCCCAUAGUGUAGACUUGGAACUGCAAAGGCUGCGAGAUUUCCUCAGCCUUGUGGGGGUUAAUGGAGGUGGUAAUGGGCCUGGAGCACUGAUGAGUUGACUCGAUCCAAGUGUUCUUUGUUCACUCUAAAAGCUUCAAAGAAUAUUAAUAUUGAAGUGCCACUUAAAUGUAUUCAAAGAGCCAGGCGGAAAGUUGUUCAUGGGAAAGGGCAACGGUCUGAUUGUUUAUUUAAAUGUUUGGUUAAUUACACUGAAAUGGAACUUAAAAAAAUGUUUAUCUGCUUAAUUCUUUGAUCGUAACAGAUGACAUCUCGUCCACAUGGACUUCUGUGACCUUAGGUUCUAUUGUGAUUCCCAUCUGUGUCCCCCAGCACCCCCUUACACUUCCGCCGUAGACUCUUCCCAGCCGCAGGAAACUUGUUUGAGGGUGGGUUAUCUCCUUGAACGGUGGACAUCCCACAAGCAGAAACACCCACUGCCCUUGCUGUUUCCUGUUCUGCUCCCCAAGGUCAAACACAGAGUCUAUCAGAGCCCAGUAACCUCCUGUUAAAGUCCCGAAUCUCUGUCUAGCUGAAAUGCGGGAGGGAUUCCUCUUUCAUAAAAGAACUUUGUCUCUAACUCGGCUUUGUGUCUUUGCAUAAGGCCCCAUUAAUACUGAUUUAAUACGAUGUUGGCAUAAUGGCUUUUGAAAGUCAUGUGUGGUGCAAUUCAUAUCACUUAUGACUAUUUUCCCUCCUUGUAACAUAAAUCAAGAUUUCCAGGUUAAUGAGUAAAAGUUGCAGUAAAUCUGAGGUUCAAGGAAACUCAACCCCCUUUUGCUAUUUGUUAAAUAAACAUUGGCUCUAAAACAAGGAUAAUGCAUCAAAAAAAAGAGUAAUUAAAACAGGUAUUCUUAUUUUAUUUCUGGGAUUCAAAUGUCAUAGAUUUUUUUUUUAUCUUGAUGUGGGUUUUAAGCAUGCCACCAUUGGGACUUGGGAGGGUGUGGCAGCAUUCUAAAGCAAACCUGGGCCGUCUGAUAGGAACAGGGCUUGUCAAUAGAACAUUUUCAUUGUGAGGCUCAAUAACCAAAUUUCAGCUGUCAAUGAAAAGAAAUAAACUCAACUAUUUUACGGAAGCUUUCACGGUGCUGCAAGGCGGUAUUACAACGGAAAGCAACAUUAAGUAAAAUUAGGUAAUAUUAUACACUUCACCAAAUUAAUUGAAUCAUGUAACCGGAAUUGCUUUAACAUGUUUGGGAGGAGUCCCUGAAAACUUCUUUUUUUCUCCUUAGGAAGCACUUCUUCCUGAAAAAA